GGGGCGGUGGCGGAAUGGGCAGACGCCGGGGACUUAAAAUCCUCUGAGGGCAACCUCGUGUGGGUUCGACUCCCACCCGCCCCACCA
rnacentral:tRNA from 1 species